rnacentral:rRNA from 1 species
GACGAACCGUCCAAACGUUAUUCGGAAUUAUUGGGCGUAAAGAGCUUGUAGGCGGUUUGUCGCGUCUGCCGUGAAAAUCCGGGGCUCAACCCCGGACUUGCGGUGGGUACGGGCAGACUAGAGUGUGGUAGGGGAGACUGGAAUUCCUGGUGUAGCGGUGAAAUGCGCAGAUAUCAGGAGGAACACCGAUGGCGAAGGCAGGUCUCUGGGCCACUACUGACGCUGAGAAGCGAAAGCGUGGGGAGCGAACAGG